CUUGACAUUUUUUAGAUUUGAUAGGGAAGAGAGGUCAAAUAUCCUGUUUAGGGAAGAGAGGUCAAAUAUCCUGUUUAGGGAAGAGAGGUCAAAUAUCCUGUUUAGGGAAGAGAGGUCAAAUAUCCUGUUUAGGGAAGAGAGGUCAAAUAUCCUGUUUAGGGAAGAGAGGUCAAAUAUCCUGUUUAGGGAAGAGAGGUCAAAUAUCCUGUUUAGGGAAGAGAGGUCAAAUAUCCUGUUUAGGGAAGAGAGGUCAAAUAUCCUGUUUAGGGAAGAGAGGUCAAAUAUCCUGUUUAGGGAAGAGAGGUCAAAUAUCCUGUUUAGGGAAGAGAGGUCAAAUAUCCUGUUUAGGUUUUUCUACUGCCAAGUUUACACCUUCACUAUUACAGUGAAACAUUUUGUCCGGGAAGUUGUCUAAAAGGGAUUGAAUUUGUUGCCUAAUAGUUUUUUGGUAGGUUUCCACACUACUUUCCUUCCAUCUAUAGCAUUUCUUAAUAUUAUUCCGUUCCUUUGAUGCCUCACAAUUGAGUAUUGCUCUGUUCAAGUAGAAUGUGAUUUUGCUGUGGUCUGAUACGGGUGUCAGUGGGCUGACUGUGAAGACUGUGAAGGCUCUGAGAGACUCUGGGUUGAGGUCAGUGGGCUGACUGUGAAGACUGUGAACACUCUGAGAGACUCUGGGUUGAGCUCUGAGAGACUCUGGGUUGAGGUCAGUGGGCUGACUGUGAAGGCUCUGAGAGACUGGGUUGAGGUCAGUGGGCUGAACGCUCUGAGAGACUCUGGGUUGAGGUCAGUGGGCUGACUGUGAACUCUCUGAGAGACUCUGGGUUGAGGUCAGUGGGCUGACUGUGAAGGCUCUGAGAGACUCUGGGUUGAGGUCAGUGGGCUGACUGUGAACGCUCUGAGAGACUCUGGGUUGAGGUCAGUGGGCUGACUGUGAAGGCUCUGAGAGACUCUGGGUUGAGGUCAGUGGUCUGAACGCUCUGAGAGACUCUGGGUCGAGGUCAGUGGGCUGAACGCUCUGAGAGACUCUGGGUCGAGGUCAGUGGGCUGACUGUGAAGGCUCUGAGAGACUCUGGGUUGAGGUCAGUGGGCUGACUGUGAAGGCUCUGAGAGACUCUGGGUUGAGGUCAGUGGGCUGACUGUGAAGGCUCUGAGAGACUCUGGGUUGAGGUCAGUGGGCUGACUGUGAAGGCUCUGAGAGACUCUGGGUUGAGGUCAGUGGGCUGACUGUGAAGGCUCUGAGAGACUCUGGGUUGAGGUCAGUGGACUGACUGUGAAGGCUCUGAGAGACUCUGGGUUGAGGUCAGUGGGCUGACUGUGAAGGCUCUGAGAGACUCUGGGUU